rnacentral:rRNA from 1 species
CGAAAGCCUGACGGAGCAAUACCGCGUGAGGGAGGAAGGCUCUUGGGUUGUAAACCUCUUUUCUCAGGGAAGAACAAAAUGACGGUACCUGAGGAAUAAGCAUCGGCUAACUCCGUGCCAGCAGCCGCGGUAAUACGGAGGAUGCAAGCGUUAUCCGGAAUGAUUGGGCGUAAAGCGUCCGCAGGUGGCAGUGUAAGUCUGCUGUCAAAGGUCAGGGCUUAACUCUGAACAGGCAGUGGAAACUACACAGCUAGAGUGCGGUGGGGGCAGAGGGAAUUCCCAGUGUAGCGGUGAAAUGCGUAGAGAUUGGGAAGAACACCGGUGGCGAAAGCGCUCUGCUAGGCCGUAACUGACACUCAUGGACGAAAGCUAGGGGAGCG